GCAGCAGUGGGACUCCUACGGGAGGCAGCAGUGGGACUCCNAUGGCAGGCAGCAGUGGGAAAAACUCCUUCGGGAGGCAGCAGUGGGACUCCUACGGGAGGCAGCAGUGGGACUCCUACGGGAGGCAGCAGUGGGACUCCUACGGGAGGCAGCAGUGGGGCCCACUCCUACGGGAGGCAGCAGUGGGACUCCUACGGGAGGCAGCAGUGGGACAGUUGGCUCAGAACGAACGCUGGCGGC
rnacentral:misc_RNA from 1 species